rnacentral:lncRNA from 10 species
GGCCCUUUGAACCGGGCGUGGGAUUGGCCGUCGCCUGCCCACCCCGCGGCUGCAGCGUUCCCUGGGGCCUAGCCAACCGCGGGCAGGGCUGGGCAAGGCGGGAGGAGCGCGGACCCAAGAUCGGCUACGCUGCGUCUGCUCAGGCUGCGAGUUCCCGGCUCUGGGGACUCACCUUGCGGAGCUUACCCAGGCGGACUCUCCGCAGCCCCUGAUGGGUGUGUGUGUCAGACCGUUUACUAAACACCAGGACUGUUGUAGGCGACUAAAAGAAAACUGAGAUCCAGGAAAGGGAAGUGAUUUUCCAAAGACACACCUGUGAAAGCCGUGUUGAACCAUGAAAGGACCUCAGGAAUGAAACCCACACACAGCAAAGCAACAAAGUGAAAGAAGCGUGGAUUCCUAAUGCAGGAGGCACUGAACCAAUCAAUACCCACUGCCCUCCAGACCUCCACAUGAAAGAAAAAAACUGCUGUCCUGUGAAGAAGACACUCCCCAGAUGCCAGCAACUUGAUAUUGGACUUCCUGCCUUUAGAAACGUGAGAAAUAAAUUUUUUUUCUUUAUAAGUUACCCAGCCUCUGGCAUUCUGUUAUAGCAGCACAGAACAGACUAAGACAGCCACUGAAACCAGAUCUAUGUCCCGGACCACCCUCAUUUGCCUCAAUUUCUCUCUAUAUAUAAUAAGAACAAAUAAUGCAAAUGCUAUCUAUACUUCCCCGUGACUACAGGGAGACUAAGGGAUGAAAUAUAUAAUCACACUUUGAAAAUAUAUAAAUGUUAUCCAACCAUACAUCCAUUGUUUCACAUCAGGCUGGGCCACAUAGCUUCCUCUGUACCCUUUAGUUUCCUGCCCUUAUCUCUAUCACAGGCCAUAUAUCAAAUGCCUAGUAAUUAUCAGUGCAUCUAUAUAUUCCCUAUUCUCCCCAACAAUACAUAAAAGGUUAUUGCAUUGCAUUGAAUUAUAAGACUUGAUUACUGGAAAGUCUAGACAUCACUCAGGGUCAUUGUGGGG